ensembl:rRNA 5S_rRNA 5S ribosomal RNA
UGAAGCAGCUAGCUCUCUGCAACUCUUACAUGGUCGCCGACUGACAUCAAGCAGGGCUACGCCUGGUCAGUACCUGGAUGGGAGAUCACAUGGGAAAGCUAGGUUGCUGCCAGAA